UAACGGGGUGGCAGACGGGUGAGUAACACGUGGGAACGUGCCUUUUGGUUCGGAACAACUGAGGGAAACUUCAGCUAAUACCGGAUAAGCCCUUACGGGGAAAGAUUUAUCGCCAGAAGAUCGGCCCGCGUCUGAUUAGCUAGUUGGUGAGGUAACGGCUCACCAAGGCUACGAUCAGUAGCUGGUCUGAGAGGAUGAUCAGCCACACUGGGACUGAGACACGGCCCAG
rnacentral:rRNA from 1 species